rnacentral:rRNA from 1 species
GGCAGCACAGUAAGAGCUUGCUCUUAUGGGUGGCGAGUGGCGGACGGGUGAGGAAUACGUCGGAAUCUACCUUUUCGUGGGGGAUAACGUAGGGAAACUUACGCUAAUACCGCAUACGACCUUCGGGUGAAAGCAGGGGACCUUCGGGCCUUGCGCGGAUAGAUGGGCCGAUGUCGGAUUAGCUAGUUGGCGGGGUAAAGGCCCACCAAGGCGACGAUCCGUAGCUGGUCUGAGAGGAUGAUCAGCCACACUGGAACUGAGACACGGUCGAGACUCCUACGGGAGGCAGCAGUGGGGAAUAUUGGACAAUGGGCGCAAGCCUGAUCCAGCCAUACCGCGUGGGUGAAGAAGGCCUUCGGGUUGUAAAGCCCUUUUGUUGGGAAAGAAAAGCCGUCGGCUAAUACCCGGUUGUUCUGACCGUACCCAAAGAAUAGGCACCGGCUAACUUCGUGCCAGCAGCCGCGGUAAUGCGAACGGUGCAAGCGUUACUCGGAAUUACUGGGCGUAAAGCGUGCGUAGGUGGGUGUUUAAGCCUGUUGUGAAUUCCUGGGCUCACCUGGGAUUGCAGUGGAUCGGGGCGACUAGGUGUGUCGAGGGGAUGGAAUUCCCGGUGUCUGGUGAAGGCUUAGAGAUCGGAGGAAAUCCUGGCCAAGCAGCUACUGGCCAACCUGAUCUGAUGUCGACGCGUGGGAGAAACGGAUAGAUCCCUGGUCUCCAACGCUAACGUGCCAGUGUCGUCGGUGCAUUUGCACGUUUAUCAAGCUACGACUAAUUCCCGCCAGGGAUACGGCACAGAUCAACUCAAUGAUUGCGGGCAAGCG